GGAGGGAGCACAGGAUCCUGAACUGUGUCCCCCAGCGCCUUGGGCUCCAGGCCUGUGUUGCUGGAAUCGCGCUCCCUGGCCACGCAGCCCCCU
rnacentral:pre_miRNA from 1 species